rnacentral:rRNA from 1 species
UACGUAGGCAGCGAGCGUUGUUCGGAGUUACUGGGCGUAAAGAGUGCGUAGGCGGUUUUCUAAGUUUGGUGUGAAAUCCCCAAGCUUAACUUGGGAACUGCGUCGGAUACUGGAUGGCUUGAAUUCGGGAGAGGGAUGCAGAAUUCCAGGUGUAGCGGUGAAAUGCGUAGAUAUCUGGAGGAAUACCGGUGGCGAAGGCGGCAUCCUGGACCGACAUUGACGCUGAUGAGCGAAAGCUAGGGGAGCAAACGGG